UGGGGAAUAUUCCACAAUGGGCGGAAGCCUGAUGCAGCGACGCCGCGUGAGGGAUGACUGCCUUCGGGUUGUAAACCUCUUUCAGUAGGGACGAAGCGUAAGUGACGGUACCUGCAGAAGAAGCACCGGCUAACUACGUGCCAGCAGCCGCGGUAAUACGUAGGGUGCGAGCGUUGUCCGGAAUUACUGGGCGUAAAGAGCUCGUAGGCGGUUUGUCACGUCGUCUGUGAAAUCCUAGGGCUUAACCCUGGACGUGCAGGCGAUACGGGCUGACUUGAGUACUACAGGGGAGAAUGGAAUUUCUGGUGUAGCGGUGGAAUGCACAGAUAUCAGGAAGAACACCGAUGGCGAAGGAAGGUCUCUGGGUAGUAACUGACGCUGAGGAGCGAAAGCAGGGGUAGCGAACAGG
rnacentral:rRNA from 1 species